rnacentral:misc_RNA from 1 species
AACAUCGCGCACCUGCGGGAACCUGCGGAGGGAUCAUUAUUGAAUUUAAAUUCUGUUGAGUUGUUGCUGGCCUUUUUAACAGGCAAGUGCACAUUCAGCUUAAUUUUUAUUAUUACCACCUGUGAACACUUUGUAGACUUGAAUAUCAGUCGAGGAAACUCGGAUCUAUGGGAUUGCUUUUGUUUGAGCUUUUCCUGUUUAUGUUCAAGUCUAUGUUUCUAUUAUGCGCCCAUGAUUAAA